rnacentral:rRNA from 1 species
CAUUAUGCCUGGAAUGGUUUAUGUUUCAAAUGAUUUAUCGCCAUAGGAUGGGACUGCGGCCUAUCAGUUUGUUGGUGAGGUAAUGGCCCACCAGGACUAUUACAGGUACGGGCUCUGAGAGGAGUAGCCCGGAGAUGGGUACUGAGACACGGACCCAGGCCCUAUGGGGCGCAGCAGGCGAGAAAACUUUGCAAUGUGCGAAAGCACGACAAGGUUAAUCCGAGUGGUUUCUGCUAAAGAAACCUUUUGUCAGUCCUAGAAACACUAACGAAUAAGGGGUGGGCAAGUUCUGGUGUCAGCCGCCGCGGUAAAACCAGCACCUCAAGUGGUCAGGAUGAUUAUUGGGCCUAAAGCAUCCGUAGCUCGUUUUGUAAGUUUUCGGUUAAAUCCAUGCGCUUAACGUAUGGGCUGCCGGGAAUACUGCAUAACUAGGAAGUGGGAGAGGUAGACGGUACUCGGGAGGAAGGGGUAAAAUCCUUUGAUCUCUUGAUGACCACCUGUGGCGAAGGCGGUCUACCAGAACACGUUCGACGGUGAGGGAUGAAAGCUGGGGGAGCAAACCGGAUUAGAUACCCGGGUAGUCCCAGCUGUAAACUAUGCAAACUCAGUGAUGCAUUGGCUUAUGGCCAAUGCAGUGCUGCAGGGAGGCCGUUAAGUUUGCCGCCUGGGAAGUACGUACGCAAGUAUGAAACUUAAAGGAAUUGGCGGGGGAGCACCACAAGGGGUGAAGCCUGCGGUUCAAUUGGAUCAACGCC